CCUACGGGUGGCAGCAGUGAGGAAUAUUGGUCAAUGGCCGGAAGGCUGAACCAGCCAUGCCGCGUGAAGGUCAGUGCCCUAUGGGCGUUAAACUUCUUUUGUGCGGGAGCAAUAAUGGUCACGUGUGGCCAGACGAGAGUACCGUACGAAUAAGCAUCGGCUAACUCCGUGCCAGCAGCCGCGGUAAUACGGGGGAUACAAGCGUUUUCCGGAGUUUGUGGGUUUAAAGGGUUCGUAGGCUGUGAGGUAAGUCAGCGGUGAAAUGCCCCCGGUCAACGGGGUGAAGUGCCAUUGAUACUGCCUUGCGGGAUUGCGGAUGACGUGGGAGGAAUGUGUGGUGUAGCGGUGAAAUGCAUAGAUAGCACACAGAACACCGAUUGCGAAGGCAUCUCACGAAUCCGCGAUUGACGCUGAUGCACGAAAGCGUGGGUAUCAAACAGGAUUAGAUACCCUGGUAGUC
rnacentral:rRNA from 1 species